GGAACACGGGCCAGUGAUCCUGCGGGGGGGUCAUUA
rnacentral:rRNA from 1 species